AACGGUCUAUACCUGCGGUACCUGCGGAGGGAUCAUUAACAAUUGUCCUGUUUUUAUGGAUAAUUUUAUCCAUAUCCACCUUGUGUGAACUAGAGAAAUGUGAGUUGGCAGGUUUUUCUCUUCUUUUGGAGAGGAUGAAGGUGCUUCAGUUGAGGCGCCUUAUGAGAAAAAUUCUCGGCCUGCCAAUUUUUAUAAGUCUCAACUCGUCUGUAACUGUUUUAUGACUGAAAAUUUUAAAAU
rnacentral:misc_RNA from 1 species